rnacentral:rRNA from 1 species
UACGAAGGGGCUAGCGUUGCUCGGAAUUACUGGGCGUAAAGCGCACGUAGGCGGAUCUUUAAGUCAGGGGUGAAAUCCUGGAGCUCAACUCCAGAACUGCCUUUGAUACUGAGGACCUUGAGUUCGGGAGAGGUGAGUGGAACUGCGAGUGUAGAGGUGAAAUUCGUAGAUAUUCGCAAGAACACCAGUGGCGAAGGCGGCUCACUGGCCCGAUACUGACGCUGAGGUGCGAAAGCGUGGGGAGCAAACAGG